UACGAAGGGGGCUAGCGUUGCUCGGAAUUACUGGGCGUAAAGGGCGCGUAGGCGGCACUGUUAGUCAGGCGUGAAAGUCCUGGGCUCAACCUGGGAACUGCGCUUGAUACGGCAGAGCUAGAGGGUGGAAGAGGCUCGCGGAAUUCCCAGUGUAGAGGUGAAAUUCGUAGAUAUUGGGAAGAACACCGGUGGCGAAGGCGGCGAGCUGGUCCAUUACUGACGCUGAGGCGCGACAGCGUGGGGAGCAAACAGG
rnacentral:rRNA from 1 species